AUUGAACGCUGGCGGCAGGCCUAACACAUGCAAGUCGAGCGGCAGCGGAAAGUAGCUUGCUACUUUGCCGGCGAGCGGCGGACGGGUGAGUAAUGUCUGGGAAACUGCCUGAUGGAGGGGGAUAACUACUGGAAACGGUAGCUAAUACCGCAUAACGUCGCAAGACCAAAGAGGGGGACCUUCGGGCCUCUUGCCAUCAGAUGUGCCCAGAUGGGAUUAGCUAGUAGGUGGGGUAACGGCACACCUAGGCGACGAUCCCUAGCUGGUUUGAGAGGAUGAGCAGCCAGAGUGGAACUGAGACACGGUGCAGACUCCUACGGGAGGCAGCAGUGGGGAAUAUUGCACAAUGGGCGCAAGCCUGAUGCAGCGAUGCCGCGUGUAUGAAGAAGGCCUUCGGGUUGUAAAGUACUUUCAGCGGGGAGGAAGGUGUUAAGGUUAAUAACCUCAGUAAUUGACGUUACCCGCGGAAGAAGCACCGGCUAACUCCGUGCCAGCCGCCGCCGUAACAC
rnacentral:rRNA from 1 species